AAAAGGGAUGCUUUGCUGCCUUGGACUUACGGCGAUAUGCUGACUAUGGCUAGUGCUGACGGCAUGAACAUUGCAUGGCCAUUCAAUAAAAUAAAGGAAUGCAAGAAGAGGGAAGACAAGAAUGCAUCUAGCACACCUCUCAAGGGCACUACAUGAAGUGUGGGGCACAAGUGUUUGGCUUAAGUUCAUGGAAAAUGGUUCUCCACAACCUGGUGGAUGUGCUUUUGGGUUUUUAUUUCCUAUUGUAUGCACCAACCUUAGUAUUAUAUAUCAAACACAAACUACUAUAUAUUGCUUGCUGGUGUGCAUUCAUGUAAGCUUUUGUUGGAUAAUGUAGUAUGCAAGACAAGAUUGUAUGCUUGACUUUAUUGGUUAUGUAGUGUGAUGUAAUGUGCAAGAUAAGAUUGUAUGGUACAAUAUAUAUGUAUCGACCUC